rnacentral:rRNA from 1 species
ACUCCUACGGGAGGCAGCAGUGGGGAAUAUUGCACAAUGGGCGCAAGCCUGAUGCAGCCAUGCCGCGUGUAUGAAGAAGGCCUUCGGGUUGUAAAGUACUUUCAGCAGUGAGGAAGGUGGGUAUGUUAAUAGCAUAUUCAUUUGACGUUAGCUGCAGAAGAAGCACCGGCUAACUCCGUGCCAGCAGCCGCGGUAAUACGGAGGGUGCGAGCGUUAAUCGGAAUUACUGGGCGUAAAGCGCAUGCAGGUGGUUUGUUAAGUCAGAUGUGAAAGCCCGGGGCUCAACCUCGGAAUUGCAUUUGAAACUGGCAAACUAGAGUACUGUAGAGGGGGGUAGAAUUUCAGGUGUAGCGGUGAAAUGCGUAGAGAUCUGAAGGAAUACCGGUGGCGAAGGCGGCCCCCUGGACAGAUACUGACACUCAGAUGCGAAAGCGUGGGGAGCAAACAGGAUUAGAUACCCUGGUAGGCUCUUGC